GAUGAACGCUGGCGGCGUGCCUAAUACAUGCAAGUCGAGCGAACAGAUGAGGAGCUUGCUCCUCUGACGUUAGCGGCGGACGGGUGAGUAACACGUGGAUAACUUACCUAUAAGACUGGGAUAACUACGGGAAACCGGAGCUAAUACCGGAUAAUAUAUUGAACCGCAUGGUUCAAUAGUGAAAGACGGUUUUGCUGUCACUUAUAGAUGGAUCCGCGCCGCAUUAGCUAGUUGGUAAGGUAACGGCUUACCAAGGCAACGAUGCGUAGCCGACCUGAGAGGGUGAUCGGCCACACUGGAACUGAGACACGGUCCAGACUCCUACGGGAGGCAGCAGUAGGGAAUCUUCCGCAAUGGGCGAAAGCCUGACGGAGCAACGCCGCGUGAGUGAUGAAGGUCUUCGGAUCGUAAAACUCUGUUAUUAGGGAAGAACAAAUGUGUAAGUAACUAUGCACGUCUUGACGGUACCUAAUCAGAAAGCCACGGCUAACUACGUG
rnacentral:rRNA from 1 species